GGGCGCUUAGCUCAGCUGGUUAGAGCACUUCGUUUACACCGAAGGGGUCCUAGGUUCGAAUCCUUGAGCGCCCA
rnacentral:tRNA from 1 species